rnacentral:rRNA from 1 species
UACGUAGGUGGCAAGCGUUAUCCGGAAUUAUUGGGCGUAAAGAGCUCGUAGGCGGCUUGUCACGUCGGGUGUGAAAGCCCGGGGCUUAACCCCGGGUCUGCAUUCGAUACGGGCUGGCUAGAGUGUGGUAGGGGAGAUCGGAAUUCCUGGUGUAGCGGUGAAAUGCGCAGAUAUCUGGAGGAACACCGGUGGCGAAGGCGGAUCUCUGGGCCAUUACUGACGCUGAGGAGCGAAAGCGUGGGGAGCGAACAGG